UACGAAGGGGGCUAGCGUUGUUCGGAAUUACUGGGCGUAAAGCGUGCGCAGGCGGCUUCUCAAGUCAGGGGUGAAAGCCCAGAGCUCAACUCUGGAAUUGCCUUUGAGACUGAGUGGCUUGAGUAUGGGAGAGGUGAGUGGAAUUCCUGGUGUAGCGGUGAAAUGCGUAGAUAUCAGGAGGAACACCUGUGGCGAAAGCGGCUCACUGGACCAUAACUGACGCUGAUGCACGAAAGCUAGGGGAGCAAACAGG
rnacentral:rRNA from 1 species